CCAAGUUUAAGUCACAAUUGCUACAUGUAAGACACAGGAAAUGACAUAAAGAACUGCCUUUAUAUUUCAUGUCACUUCCUGUGAGAGGGACUUGGCAGUGCAACUUGACCCUGGAGGAGCUCAGCAUGAGAUCUCAGACUCCUUUCCUUUAGGAGGUCAUGUGCCAUGGUACAUAUUUCCAGACAAGUUGGAAUUCCUUAAUACUAUGAUGCUGAUUAAGAUAUGGGGUUCCCUGAUGGAGCUGUUUCUUUCUUCAGUGAAACCAGAUAUACAUGCUGUUGGAGAGCUCCAGUCUGCUGCUAUCCAUAUCUGUUGAAUGACUAUUGAAAUAUGGGCAAUUGACAACCUUCACCUACUUAGUCUUUCUUUAGUGGCAUGACAGAAGAAAUUCUUCUAAUUACCCAUCUGUUCCAGGAGGUUCUGCAGUGUUUUAGGGACAAAGACUACAUAUAAGUUUAUACCAAAAUAGACACUUCCUCCCCACCACUACAUUAACCAUUAUGUGUGGAUAUAACAUUUUCUAUCUUGGUAUAAUACACUUCUUAAAGCUAUUUCAACAAUGCUAGGGGAAUGCUAAUGAAGACAUCUCAUUUGCAGCAGAGCUCAGGAUACUUUGCUUAUGAACCCUCUUAGAGUGUGUACAUGACUUUGAGACCACCUGUUCUACUAAUGAAUUACAUGACAAGGUUGAAUUGUUAGAUUCUUUUGGAAUGAUAAGAGGAAACACUAUGGCAAUUUUUUUUCUAAUUAAACAUUUAUUUAUUAAGAGCCAAUUAUGUAUAAAGCAUUUGGAAAGAUGAAGACAAAAUGUUAAGCACAAGAAAUGUCUUUCAGAAGCACAACCUAAAGGGGUAGUAAGAUAUUCACAAAAUGUAGUAAGACAUUUGGACUGAGAAUUAGCUUUGGACUCAGGAAGACCUGAGGUCAGGUUUUGCUUCUGACAUAUGACA
rnacentral:lncRNA from 1 species